CAGAGGUCAGACCUCUUGGUAGAAUACCAAUAAGUAUUUUUAAAGAUAUAGAAAAUAUACAGACAUACUUUGGCACUACUAUAAUUAGGCAUAUAGAAGAUUAACAAAACAGCUAGUCAAUGGAACGAUGGAAGUUAACUUGGAGACCUUGUUACCUAACUAAGACGGAUGGACGAUUUUGAGAGCUGAGCUGGGAGGAGAGCGAUUGCUAGUAGCUACACAAGAUCCCGAAUGAGGUCUAAUAGCUGUCUUCAGAACGAGUGCGCUUCUACCGCGAAUCAGAAUCGUGAUCUGCCGAGAAGAUCUGGCGAGAAACUCAGCAGACUGAUGCUAUGAGAGUUGAGCUUUUAAAUCCGAACUAUUGUGAGCCAAUAAUUUAGAGUCUCAUCAUCAUCAUCAGCCCACAGUCGCCCACUGCUGGGCAUAGACCUCUCCCAAUCCACACCACUGAGCCCGGUCUUCGGCUAUUCUCGUUCACUUUUUGCCCGCCACUGUUCGAAGGUUAUCGCACCAACUAGCCAGGGGGCGUCCCAUGUUACGUUUUCCGCGGCGCGGUCACCAUUUAGAGUUUUUAAUACUUAUAAUACAUACUUACUACUUACAUACAUACAA